ACUUGUCUUGCUUGUUGAUCUCUGACCGGACAUAUCUCAUUUUUACUAUUCUCGUCUGUGGUUUAUAUUUCUUGAAGCAUUUUUGAAUAUCUGAUUUUGUUAUUAUUACAAAUUCAGUAAUUUUGAAUGGAGAUAAAUUCGCACAUUCAUCUGUAACCAUCAACGAAAAGGAAAAUUUACAGUUGGCAAAAUCAACAUGUUGAAU